rnacentral:lncRNA from 1 species
UGCUGGUCUGGCACUAUCCUGUGAAAUGUCCUUCUCCUCGUAACUGGAGAAGUGAUUUGGCAAUUUAAUUACUUGAAAGAGGCCUUUUUCAUCACUAAUUGCACCCGAGACCCCUUUGAUUUGGGAACUUGACAGCUAAGGCAGUGGUUAACUGGUUAUAAAUAGUUCGACUGGAAAAUUUUAAACACACAUUUUUCAGUCAAAAGCACUUCCUACACGUAUUAGUAUAAGAUAGGUAGGAAAAUAAGACACGGGGUGAAAAUAGCAGUACCCGUUGAGUUUCAUAUUUGUUUUUCUUUUUUUAUAAAGAAAAAGUAUAGUGUGCUGGUCAAAAACUUAAAUUGAGUCUUUUGGGAUUAGAUUAACCAGUACUUGAGACAAUUACUAAACAUAAUUAUCUUUUAGACUUUAGUGAGGCGCUUCUAAUGGUAAAAAAGAAGGAUCAAUUAAAAGGAGGUCAUAUAGUGUGUGAAGUUUUUGUUGAUAAUUUGCGUACAGUUUGAAGAUGAUGUAGUUAAGUUACUUUACAGCUUUGGGGUUAAAAGGUGAGAACUUUACUACAACGGUAAUGAAACAGUGCACAUUGGAGAUUUGGUAACAUUUGAACAAGUCACCUUGACUGGUCUUUCAAAACCUACAGUACUUGACAGAUAGGAUUGGUUGUUGCGUGCAAUUGCAUGAGUCUCAUCAACCCAAAUUCAUAUUUGGAGGGAUGCAACUGUUUCACUGUUGUGAGUGUCUCACAAACGGAGAACAAUUUUUGUGUAACAGGACGUCACGUUAACAGCAUUUUAAGUCAAUCACAUACUGUCACGUGGAAAGACGAACAUCAACAUUAUGAUAGGGUACCAAAUCAGUUGCCUAUGAGAUUUUUGAGGCUUUUAAGCCUACACAGUGAUCAAACCGUCACACCACCACUAGAAAGAGAGGCUGUAUUGGCGAGAGGCGGUGACUGCUGCUGUUGCGCAAUUUGCAAAUAGAGCAGGAAGGAGAUUUUGGUGGUACACUUUUUCACUAGGGUACUGGUGAUGAAUUUGACGUUUUUGGGAGGGUGAUUUUAUCAGAGAUGAGCAGAAUGUGCUCUGACGAUGACAUCAUGCAUGGGGCAGAGUGGUCCCAUCCCAGCCUUGUGCUUCUUCCUUCUGGAGGGAGGGAGGGAGGAGACAUUGGCGAUUGUGUUGUUACUAUCAAAAUGUAAAAGUGACAUGUCAUCUAUACACAGUGGCUGACUGGGUCAUGACUCAGAUGUAUGCAUGUGUUGUGUAUUUAUACUAUUGCUAUUGCGCAAGGAGACGUGUUCAUCUACGUCGACGACAAUAUCAUCUCAUAUUUGAAUCAACUCUGUGAUCAUACUUCAGUUUGAUUUCUAACUUUUCUGAAGUGAUCAAGAGGGAUUGUUUUCUUAAUUGCAAGAUUAACCUACACCAUCAUCCUCUAAAAUAAGUAAAUAAUUUGAAUUUCAAUUGAUACAUACAUUGGUGUGUUACGGAAUAUAACAACUACAAAUAAUAAAAAUAUUAAGGAGUGGAGUGUUGAAAUGGAGAGAGUAAACAUACGUCUCAUUUACGUUCCUAAGCUUCGACACAAAACUUAUAUGGAAAAUUAUUCUACCAAAAAGGAAACAAUCAAAAUCAAAAUCAUUUUUAUAUUCGGAGUUGUUCUUCAUUAACUUCAAAUUAAGUCCGAAACAUUUAUAGAAAAUAACCCAUUAAAGCUAGAAAAAAAAAAGGAAAAUUGUCUGCAACACGUCAAAGUAUAAUCGGUAAAUAUCAAAGAGGAAUGAUUCGUUCCAUGUAAGGAACAGCCUUAGUAGUCUUGUACUAGUAAUUAGCAGUUAUAAUUAUUGUGUUAGUGAAUGUAACCAAAAGAUUAGAAGUUGGUGCUAAGUUCAAUAAGCAAUAGUCAUGGUCGACAAUUGAGGCUAUAGCCUACUUUGUGGGCAAAGAAAGUUUGGGCUACGUUAGGGGUAAAUGAAUUUUGGGCUUUUCUCCCAAGGAUUGAAAACGCAUCCAAUUUUGGGCUAUAGGCUAAGUUUGUACAUUGUGUUCCAAAAAUUUAUCAGAUGGCUAAUGUAGGGAGAUAUUAAUUUAUUAGAUGAUAGUUUCUUUUUUUCUUUUAUAGUACGUCAAUUAUUGAGACAGAUAUCUAGAAAAAUACACGUAAUAAAGAAAAUUUUAUUAAAAUAACUAUUUAGAAAAAUAUAAUUACCUGUCUAACAGGGAAAAAAAUUAUAGUCUUUUUUUUUAAAAAAAAAACACUCUUAGAGCCGUUUUUAUUUUGAGGAGGAAGCCAUUAUUCUUUCUCCCCUCUUCUCUUCCUCCCUUCACCUCUUUCUUCAUUUUCAGAUACAAAUGGUUUACUCUAUUUGUAUUUGUUUUAUUAUGAUUUUCAUCCAACCUAUACAGGCAGCUGCGAGAGCUUGUGCGGUUUCUUUAUGUUUGGAAUAAGUUACAGAAACUCUUUGAGUUCUCUGUGUAGUUUUCACCUCUCAUUUGUGAGAGUUUUAUUUGUACUGUUAUGACUUGAUUUUUUCAAGCCUUAUAUCUUUUUAAUUAUUCUAAGUUUGCAAUCUUAGUUGGGAUGCCUAUGCCAAAGUUUCUUCCAUCAUACAUGAUCGUUAGGUGAGACGCAUCAAAUUGUCUUAAUUUCGUUAUUACAAUGGCCUUUUUCUGGCUAAUUUGUAUUGAUCUUUUGUGGCCAAAAGCUUUUUUGACUGAAUUAUGAAUGCAAUCAUAUAAUUUUUUAAUAAUAAAUUUGUUAUAUAUAAUUACAACAUAGAAUAUAUAAAAACUUUAUAAAUCCCAUGUAACGCGUUUGAUGAAAAAAAAAACUAAUUAUAAAUGAAAAAUAUAAUUUACAACUAAGUUUAUAAAACUAGUACAAUGAAUACAUAUCUGAUGUUACUUUAGUGCAACGAAUUAAACUAGUACAACAAAUAAAUAUCUGAUGUUAGACCUUGGCGGUGCUCUUCCUUAUCUUCUACCAGGACAAAAUGUGCCAGAAGAUUCAAUGGGUUGUGACGAUGGACGACAUGGACAGUUGAAAGCCCACGUACACAAAUUUUCCUCUCAGACAAGAGACACCUGUCCACUUUAUCGCCACGUGUCAUGACUUGAAAUGAAAAAAUUCCCCUACAAAAAUGGGACACAAUUGUGCUGGCUGCAUCCACAGCACUACACCGGCAUAUAUAUAUAUAUAUAUAUUUAUAUAUAUAUUUAUAUAUAUAGAAAGCGGUAGAAGUUUGAAGAUGCCAAAGAUGAUUAAUGCAUUCAAAACAUUCAGAACCCAAUCAGCAGCUUUGACAUUCUCGACGCCUCUGCCGCCGCCGCCAGGCUUGGGACGGAAAGCUUCCGGGGUCCGAUUCAAACAGACCACAACCCUGCGCUCCAGCGAGUCCGAUAGUGAGCACAACAUGGACAAGCCAGAGCCUAACCCUACUGAGAAAACUAGGUAAGUGGCUUUAUACCAUAUGAUUAAUUAUCCCAUUUUCUUUGCAAGUAAGUUGGAUGUGUAUUUAAUUUAAGUUGGCUAAUGUUAUUUGAAUGUACAAUAUUUAUAUAUUAGGGAUAGGGACAGUUUGUCACAUUCAUUUGGGGAGGGGUAUGCGACGAGGUGCGAUGACGAUGGGUUCGGAGUGGUAUAUGGGGGAAUCCGGUCAGUUCCAAAGACGGAGCAGGAUGACAACCACCCUGCUGUGGACAAGUCACAGGGAAGUGAGGUGCAGGAGAAGGAGAAACCGCGACACCAGACAAAUGCUUCAUCCUAACUAAACUAAUAUAUACGAGAGUCGACUACAUAUAUAUAUAUAUAUAAAUAUAUUUGCAGUGCUUUUAUAUAGUGUUUUCUUAAUUUCUGCUAAUCCGUUUUAUGAAGCGAGGAGGACGACCCAUGUUACUAUUUGUAUUGACUGGCUCUAUAUCUAGCUAUGUAAUGUAAAUGUGAAAAUCUAGAAACGCUUUCAAGUUGGGUAAUAAUUAAUCGAAACAUUUUGAGCAUGUAUAUUGGCGAAUAUUUCUACAUGGUGGUGUAAUCUGAACUUACAAAAAUUGCUCGAAACAUCGGAACAUACAAAAGUUAAUCGAAAUAUUUUGAGCAUGUGUAUUGACGAAUAUUUUUACAUGUUGGGGUAAUCUAAACAUACAAAAAUUACUUGAAACAUUUUGGGCUUCUACUUUUGGCUAUCUUGGUUUUUGGGCCUCUAGUAAAGUGUUGAAUUUAUAUUAGUAGGGGAUGAAGUAGACUGAUUUUAAUAGCAAUGGCUACCACUUGUGGUUGCCAAAUUCCACCACUACGUGUCAUGACAUGAAACUAAAUUUCUCACUGAAAUCAGGAUCAAUCCCCAUUGAACCGGACACAAUUUGGUGAUUUUUUGGCCUCACCUUUCACCGCCAUAUAUUCACUGCCUCAUCCUCGGUUAUGUUGUGUGUUUUCGUGCAUAAAUAGCAACCAGCAGAAAUUCCUACGAGGUACGCAAAACAUGAUUCAUGCAAUAAGAUCACUCAGAACCCAAUCGCCCUCAAACUUGGUCCAAAAAGCUUCCGGGGUCCGAUUUAGGCAGAACGCAACUAUUUCUACUGAUCCAGAUACUAAACAUAACAUGGACAAGACACAAAACCCUAACCAGCAGAAAACUGGGUUAGUCUACACAUUUCUUAUUGUUAUCUCAUAUGUUAAACUUCUCGAUUUUUUGGUUUUUGUACACUACUCGGUGCAUUGUCAAUAUUCAAUCGGUAUUUCCCACAUCACACGAGAAUAUCGACAAUAUAUCAAAUACGGUAUAUAAUCAACUGUUUAUGAUGAUUGAUACGGAUAUUCAAAUGAUAUUUCUCACAUCAAAUGUAUAAAUCAAUUGACUUGUUGUGUAAGUUUGAUUCGUUGAUUCAUAAUAAGGGAUUAGUAUUACUAAUUUGGGUACUACAUUUUGUUUGUUGUAUAUUCAUUAGAGAUGCGAUGUCUCAUUCAUUUGGGGAAGGGUAUGCGACUAGGUCCGAUGAGGAAGGAUUUGGAGGGGUAUUUUCAGGAAACCAGUCUCUACCGAAGACACAGCAGGAUCAGCUGAUCCAUGAAAACCACCCUGCGUAUGACAAGACGCAGGGAAGCGAAGUGAAGGAGAAGGAGAAAGGACGACACCAAACCCAGGCCAAUGCAUCAACAAACUAAUGAAGGUGCCCGCGAGCGGAUUGAUCUGUGUGGAUUCGGUGGCCUUUCUAUAUAAUUCCUUUUCAUUUUGCAAAUUAUUUUUAAUUUAAUUUGUUGGUUAUAUGUUAAUACUUGGAAAGGCUUUAAAGUUCGUAAUAAUUUCAUUCAUUUAUCGAAAUUAUCGUUGGAUUAAAGUUUUCUUUUAAUUGAUCAUUUGCUUCAAUCUGCAUUUGGAUUUUGUAAUAAUUUGCACGUAGAGUUCAUGGUUCCUAAAUUUAAAAAAAGAAAAGAAAUUACUAUUAAAAAAGGAGGCCAGUAUAAUUCGAAGGCAAAAUCCAAACGGAACACAAGCUCAAGACCACCACUACAAUCCUAACCCAAAAGCCUAAUGUAAGAGUAAAAAAAAAAGCUUUUAUGAAGGAUUUUGUUGAUAUCUUUUGGCCCGAAAAAUGAUUAUGUUAGAAUUACGAUAGAGAAUCAAAAGUUCGAUGAACUUCGUAGGUAAGUGAAAUGUAAAUCAUGCAUUAUGAUAGAGAAAUGUCAGAGCCAUAUAAGGAUUAUAAACAAAUUCAAAAUAACCUCAUGCCUAGAAUCCCUCAUUGUAUAUUCGUAAACCUUCUUUUGUGAGUUACCAUGUGAGGAGAACGAUAGAAAGAAGAAGUAUACACUUAAUUAUAUGUAAGUUUUUUUCGAAAGAGAAGGAGGGAUAGUCCUACGUCAAGGUUAACCUAGACUAUAUCCUAAAGUGACUUAUUAUUUUUAGCCUAAAAUAAUACCCCAGCCUUCCCUUGCAAGCCCCAUACACUCAUCCCACAUAAACAAAAUCUCAUUAACUAACUCCACAAGAAGUCUUACCAACAAAAAAAAAGGGAAAAACAAAAUUAACCCACAUGUGACAACACCGUCCCAACCAAAUAAAAUCCUAUUAACAAACCUAUGUUAUUCUUGAAGAGUUAAUUAUAGCAAACUAAGGUAAUCUUCAAUUCUUCAUUUCCUUUUCUUCUCCAAAUGUGUGGAUGUUGAACUUUUGGAGAUUGUUUAGGGUUUAUAAAGUAUCAAUGAGGAAUUUACAAUUAAGAAUUGUGAAUUAUCAAACAAGACGUGUAAUUGAUUUUGGUGUUCUUGCUUGCUUGUAUGAAUUAUCAAUUGAAGAUUUAGUUGAUCUAUAUAUUUACAUCUAUAUAUUAUUCAAUAGGUUAUACUUUAUAGUGUUGAAUCAAUAUCGAAAUGUUAAGAGAUCAUAGACUCUUAGAUAUCAAGAUUUGCAAUUAAUUUGGGUGUUCUUGCUUGCUUGCAUGUUUAUUUAUUGUUUUUUGUUUCCUUACAUGUACUAGAUGCAUUUUGAGGGGGGAGGCUCAUUAUGUUCCCCCUGAAUAUUUUUUUGUUAUCAAUAAAAUUCACUUGUACAGUCAAAUUUUCUAUCAAUUUAGCAUAUUUGUACAUAUAAAAUAAACAUAGCCCACACUAUUUUAAAAUUCUGAAUCCGUUCCCAGAGGAGGAUAUGUGAGAAAGGAAUUCAAAACUAUAUUGAGAAAAUGGAUGGUUUAUUUUAUUUUUCUUUUUCUUCCUCACAUUUUUAUUUUAAAUAUCUUAUGAGGUCAAUACUUACGUAUAGUCAUUGGAGGCACCCCAUCCCUUAGUGAUUAAAUAAUUUUCACUACACACAUGUCCCCUUUCCCCCAUGUGGCACCCCGGUUCAAAAUCAUAGCCGUGCAAUCCUAAGGAAACCCGCUAAUAUAUAAUCCCGAUUUAAAUUAUUCCGGACCGGUAAUAUCGAGCAUGACCCGUUGCAAACGUCGAAUAAUCUAGAAUAAAAGAUAACAAAUUGGCGCGACAGAAAACUAAUUGUAGUAAAAAGCUGGUAAGGUAGUAAAUUCGCGCGAGAGAAACCUAAUUAUAGUAAGAAACCUGAUAAGGACGUGAAUCCGAUUCCCAGACAAAAACGGUAACGUGUUGUAUAAUAAAUUCAAAAAAGGAAAGUGCUUACGAAAAACGCAAAGGUUUACUUUUCUCUGUCUCCAGCGCAUCGGAGACGUGUACAAGUGGACCACCGCCGAAUCCACCAAACCAUGCGAUUUCGUAUUAGCCGUCGAUCUUAAAUAUUAGAAAUCAAUCGCAACCGUACAUCCGCUUUUAUCCUAUUAUAAAAGUACGUUAGGGUGUCUGGUUCUAAAUCAUUCAGCGCCUCAACGUUCUCUUUCUCUCUCCUCACGACUCUAUGAGCCUCCUCGGUUCUUCUUCUCCUGCAGAUCUGCUCUGCAUGGAUCGUUUUCUCUCUCUGGUUCUUUCAAAUUCGCGUAGAUCGCUUUGUUGUCUACGUGUUGAUGGUGGUUUGAUGUUGUGAGGAUGGUUUGAGCUGAUGUUGAAUAGCUGGUUUGACCAGCUCGAGCUUGUACUCUGCGUUCUUCGAUUCAGAUUUACAGGUUCGUAUAUGUUUUUGCUUUGAUUUACGUAUCCAGAUCUGCAAUAAAGCUUCGGUGUUUAUGCCUUCGUUUGAAUUUUAUAGAUCUGUUACAAAUUGAGUUUUUUGUGUUUCUGCUUCGCACAGUUGCUGAUUCAUGUAUUUUCUUUUGUGUUCAAACAGAGAUGGCGACGGAGCUCUUAUGGAAUUUCAAGAGGUUUCAAGCCCAACGGUUCUGAGCUGGAUGCAGAUCUGAUGCUUAUGGCUGCUGAAGCUGGACCAACAGAUGUAAUUGAUAUUCGAUUCGAUGGGCAUAUUUGUAAUUUGAAGAGGGAAGCUGAAGUAUUCGGGGGUUUGGGUGUGGUUGAAUUCCGGAUGUAUAAGAUAUCGGGACGAAAGGCUCGGUGGAAGGGCUGAGUCCUGGACCGAUCUUUGUCAUCCGACCUUUGCCAUGACAGGUGCGCUUGCAUGGCAGGUCAUAAAAAUACCUCAAUAAAAAAACAAACGAUUUUUUGGUUUUGAGGGGAGACAGCAUGGGGGUUUGCCCAGGGUCUCCCCUCUGGUGUGUGUGCGCUCUGUGUCCUCCUUUCUCUUUGUUCUCUGUUUUUUUUGUUGCUCUCUUCUCCAUGCACACCAGUCGAGCACGGAUCGUGGACAUCGACAACAACGAAAUCUCGCGCCUAAAGGUAUUAUCUGCCCAAGUCUAUAUUCUUUUAGUUAAUAUUCAUCAUGGUACCCAGAUCUGCAAAUUUCACACCAAAUUCACACGAACACCUAUCUAAACAUGGUACUUAAAUCUGCAGCUACACGAUUAAUUAGUUUUAUGCGGUUUUAUUUAUCUUAAUUAACAAGGGAUUAAGCUUAUUGGGUUAUAUUAAGCAUAACUGGGGACUUGAUAGGGCUUGGUAAUAAUUUUUGUUUACAGUUUGGUAAUUGUGGAUUUCUUCAAACUACCCCACUGAUUUUGAAGGUAAUCGGGUUCGAGUUUACAUGGCUAUAUCGAUGUAGGAUACUAGUUACAUAGUAUUAACAGCAAACCGAGUAUUUUGAACCAUUAUAACCUCAAAGUAUACACCCGUAUUUUACUAAAUCCAAUACUAAUAUUUUUGGUAAGUUCCGUGUACUGAUAUUCAUUUAUUAUUCUAAAAUACUGUAAAUCAGAAGUAGUGGUAUGCUCGUCCAGAUCCCAAAUCCCUCAUCCUACCAUGCCACUCAUUUAAAAUGCCUUGCGUUACGUAUUUCGUCACAGAUUCCCAACACCUUUGCAACAUUUAUAAUUACUUAUGUUACUGCAGCUAAUUACAUGAGUUGAAAUGAAAUUUUAUGGUGUCUCGUGAGCUAUUUUAAAUAAUUAUUCAUUAUAAUCUGGAUUACAGUUUAUGGUAUGUUAUAUCUUGGGAUCUCAAAAGAUAUGGAUCCCCUGUAAUAUUCUGUAAUUUUAUAUCAUUUGGCUCCUUUUUCGUUGAGCCGUGGAUUGUAUUCCCAGUAGUUUGUUCUUAGGAGUGACUACUGGAAGCUUUCUUCGCUCUGGAGAUUGAACAAGACUUCUACCGGAUUGAAGCAGUGAGGUCGUGGGAAGGUCCAAGUCGUCUGUUGUAUGCACUCUCGUUCUGGAGAUUAUAAGGUGAAAAAUGACUGUACACCUGAAGGUUCAAUUUCUUAUGGCUUUGGAAGUUAUUCGAAGCCUUGAUUAGCAGUGUCCUACAUUUUAUUUCACCUUCAAGUUAUUGAAGUCAUUACUAUCAGCGUUUUCAAUUAUUUGACCUCAUUAUGUAUAUUUCAAUUUCAUGAUUUGUUCUGUUGAAUUUAUGCUAUUAUGAUGAUGUCUUCGGUCGAAUAAUGAAUUACUUCUGUUAAUCUAAAUCAUUGAAUCUCAAUUGUGUUUGUGGAUUGUGCAUAUGGAUGACUUAUUAUUGAGAUGAAAAAUUUAGGAUCAUGCAGAAUGGUGGAUGGGAUUUGAGGACAUGUUUUGGUUUGAAAAUGCAGGAAUGGUUCUUUUGAUUUUAUUAACUUUAUUUUGAGAACUGCAUGUAAUUAUGUGUGUAGGUUAUGUGGGAUCUUCAGUAGUUGUGGUGUAGUAUCCAUCUUCUCAUAUUAGUAGACUCUGGAAUGUUGUUUUAUAUGAAAAAAACACUUUAUUCUUAUAAUUUCAAAUCAGGAGGAGACUGUUCCAUGUUAUAAGUCGAUGUUCAUUUGUGGUUUUUGAAGAAAGGCUCUAUAUUGGGUUCCCUAUUCGAACCAGUAAUUUUAUUCUUCCAAGUGUCUCACCGCGGUUUUUUGUGAAUUGCUGGGUAUUUUUUGAACUUUGUUUCGUAAAAAUUUGUUAAGAGUUGACGAGGAGAAUGAAAACAGAGCUGUUUUAGAUUGGAAAACAUGUUAAACCCGUAAGAAACCCAGUAAACCUAAUUUCCACAAUCUAGUCUCUUGGUGAUGACCUGUGACUCUCGUCGUAAAACGUAAGCCAUAUUGGAACGGUGAGUUUCUGGUUUGGCGAUGUGAUUUUACCCGUUAUAGUGGAAGAUGCAUAGAUGUGGGUAAUUUGAGAUCAAGGUCUGUAAGCUCAAAAAUGGUAGAGCGCUCGGGUCCAUAGUUGGGCUUUGGGAGGAUGGUGGUUCGAAUCCACCCAGAUCUACAAUAACAAUACCAUUUAAUAAUGAACACAUUACUUUUUAUGAUCAAACUAUGACUUGGUGUGCCAUCAUCGUUCAUGUGUUGUUGGUUUUAUGUUUUCAUUACUCUUUAACCUCAUAUAGCUGUCAGGCAACCAAAAAAGCCCAAGGCCGGCAGCAACAGCAAACAACUGGCGGCAAAGUAGAACAAGGACCGAGGCAGGCAGCCGAAGCUGAGAGACAAAACGACACAGCCAAAAGCGAGCCAAGCAAGCAACAGUAGGCACCCAUAAUCUAAUUAUUAUUAACGAUAAAUGUCGGGUCAUUGUCUCCUGACUAAUACAUGAUUAGUGACAUACCUUUCCAUUGAAGGAAUCUUGAGGACUAUGUAGAUAUUUAUUUGUGUUUGAUUUUAAUGUCGCUUGCAUAAAAAAAAAUUUGUUUUACGUUAAAGAAACCUAGUAUGAUUUUGUUCUUCAUUUUAUGUAUCUAAAUCUAAAGGUUGUGACCUAUGAAAUUUGAUGUUAAUGCGUGCAACUAGACCGGGGAUGCCCUAUUUGAAUACUAGUUAUAUGGUUUUAUGUCGGUUACCGAUUUGUUAAAGGAAAAAAGAAUAAGUUGGGCCUAAAACACCAGCCCAAUUCUCGUUUUUCCGGGCCGUAGUCUCUUUAUCUUUUUUCUUAGGUCCGGCCCGGUUAAAAUUAUUCAAGGACUGUAAUUUCGAGCUUGGGCUGUUCCAAAUUCCGAAAUGUCUAGAAGGAAAUAUAGUAAUUGGCGCGAGGGAAACCUAAUUAUAGUUAUGACCCAGCUGUCAAGGCGGCAAAAUUAACGUGUCGUGGUUGAUACGGUCAAAAACAGUAACGUGGAAAAUUAUACCACCGCUCUAACCACCCACCCACCCACGUUAUAACAUUCCAGCCGUCGAUCUUAAAGAUAAGGGCGCAAUCGCAGCCGUCCAUCGCAUUUAUACUAUUAUAAAAGUAGGUUAGGUUUGGUUGGAUCCAAACCAUUCAACGUCUCAACGUUAUCUCUCUCCUCUUUCUCUUCACAUCUCUAUGCGCCUCAAUGGUUCUUCUCCUGCAGAUCUGUUCUGCAAGGAUUGUUUUCUCUUACUUUGUGUCGGAUUCGCGUAGGUCUUAUCGAGAUCUACGUUUUCAUGGUGAUUUGAGGCUGUGAAGAUGUUUUGAGCUGCUGGUUCAUAGCUGGUUUUACCAGCUCGAGCUCGUCUUCUUCGUGCUUUGGCUCAGAUUUACAGGUUCGUCUAUGUUUUUUAUUCUUUUAACUUAUCUAGAUUUCGAAGAAGGCUAUACUGUUUAUGCUUUCGUUUAAAUUGUUAGAUUUGCUAGAAUUCAGCUCAACAGUUUCUGCUUCAUGCAGGUUUUGAUUGAUGAUGAUGGAGUUCAUAGCAAGUCGUCGGAGAUUCCAAGAUUUGACCGUUUUGUGCCAAAUCCGACGUCGUUUCAGCUGCAGAUCUGGUUCUUCUGGAGUCUAGCGUAUGUUUAUUCGAUAUUCGAAUUGAAUAAUUGUAAUUUGAUGAUCGGGAAGGUCAAAGCUGGGGUGUUUAGGGAUGAUUGGGUUGUGCAACGGAUGUAUAAGAUGUCGGGACGAAAGGCUCAGAGGGAGGGUCUGUGUCCUGGACCGAUCUUUGUCAUCCGACCUUUGCCAUGACAGGUGCGCUUGCAUGGCAGGUCACAAAAAUACCUUAAUAAAAAAACAGAAACGAUUUUUUGGUUUGGAGGGGAGAUUGCAUGGGGUUUUGCCCAGGGUCUCUCCCUCUGUUGUGUGGUGUGUGAUCUGUGUCGUCCUCUCUUUACUCUGUUUUAUUUUUCGCUCUCCUGCUCAUCCAAGCAU